UACGUAGGUGGCAAGCGUUGUCCGGAAUUAUUGGGCGUAAAGCGCGCGCAGGCGGUCCUUUAAGUCUGAUGUGAAAGCCCACGGCUCAACCGUGGAGGGUCAUUGGAAACUGGGGGACUUGAGUGCAGAAGAGAAGAGUGGAAUUCCACGUGUAGCGGUGAAAUGCGUAGAGAUGUGGAGGAACACCAGUGGCGAAGGCGACUCUUUGGUCUGUAACUGACGCUGAGGCGCGAAAGCGUGGGGAGCAAACGGG
rnacentral:rRNA from 1 species